GAUCAUUAGUGGGUUUUUACAGAGGGUUGAUGCUGUGGUAGACAUGUGCUCACUCUUCUGAUUUAUUUGACACCUGUGCACUAAAUUCUCCAAAGACUUUUUUAUUUUUUUAAUGGCCUUUGGGGACUUAUAAACUCCCACUCAGACAAUGGAUGUUUUCGAAUUCUAUAAUACAACUUUUAACAACGGAUCUCUUGGCUCUCGCAUCGAUGAAGAACGCAGCGAAAUGCGAUAAGUAAUGUGAAUUGCAGAAUUCAGUGAAUCAUCGAAUCUUUGAACGCACCUUGCGCUCUCUGGUAUUCCGGGGAGCACAUCUGUUCGAGUGUCAUUAAAAUUCUCAAAUAGGGGUCUCUCUGUUUGGAUUUGGACUUUUGCUGCAUUAAUGUGGCUAGUCUCAAAUAUAUUAGCUGAUCCUCAUAGAGGUUGUUGGUUCUACUCAGCGUGAUAAUUGUCUAAUAACGUUGAGGACAGUCUCUGAAAAUUGGUCAUUCUCAGAAGCUGGCCAAAUAGCUCUCUCUGGAUUGCUUCCAAAUUGUCUUGAGGGCAAUUGCUUAAUUUCUGACCUCGAAUCAGGUGGG
rnacentral:rRNA from 1 species